AAAAGAUUAGUUAAAAUAACAUUAGAAUGUCAAACUAAAAUUACUGAUAAUCAGUAUCUUUUA
rnacentral:tRNA from 1 species